UUUCUGAAAGCAGGAACGGAGCUUACUAAAAGGAAAAACUAAACGAGAGAACGACGACGUUUGCAGUUUACUAUUGUGCUUGCUUUUUGUCUUCUGAGUGUUUUGUUGUGUCUUUUUUAUGAACAGAAAUUUUUUUAGUGGCAUGGCUGUUGACCAAGAAUCAAGCACAGAGUCACUCCAACAUAUUCCUGAAGCUAAAACCUCAUCUCAAGUUGAGUGGAACAGCCUAUUGUUCUCGUGUCUGAUAAACAGAUGAUGCACGAGGAGAAAGAUGUGUGAUAUUUCUUGUGUUUCCUUUCCUUGCAUGGAGGAAGCGUUCUUAUCCAGUUUAAGAGAUUUUCAACCUGAGCUUUGUGGUACAACAGCUUAACGAGCAUUACAGGAUGGUGUUCAAGAAACAGUGGUGACAGUAGCAUUUACGGUGCGAAGCUAGAUGCAGGGGGCAGUGAUUUUGCUUCUUAAGGGUUUCCAAGUUGAUGAUCAAAUAAAGCUACUUGAACUUCAACUUUCUGGUAAGAAAGCGAUCGAUGCGACUGCUUUUUGAAAUGGCUUGAGAGGUCAAAAGUUGAAGAAGCUGAGUACAGAGACUAGAGUUUGUUCUAAGGUCGUAGCGAAGAUCAGCAUAUGCUCAGGAAGCUAGUGAGCAACUUAGAGAAAUUGUUCCUAAAUAUGAAAUAUAUAUAUUGUAAACCGAAAUUUAUUUGCAA